rnacentral:lncRNA from 1 species
CCCUUAAACAUCAAACUCGAACAAGAUUUACCAGUUCAUAUCAUUCAGCAACAAACAUAAACAAUGUAAGCAAGGUUAGCUCCCCAAACCUAGUUCUAGCUCUUCUCACGGUCAAAACCCUAACACCAAAAACAUUUAGGCCUCUAUUGCCCUUUACUCACCUUCACGCUCUCUCGCUCUCGCAAUUCCAUCUCGCUUCUUUUCUCCUUCUCCUUCCUUAUCUAGCCACUAAGAACCAUCGUCAUGUUGACGAAAAACCCACCCCUAAAGUCGCGAAGAAAAUUCCCCUUUCACUCUCGGUAUCGCCUUCUCCCUCUCGCAAUAGGAUUCUUAAAAAGUUUGAUCACUCCCUCCAAUUCCCAACUCUCACUCAUGGUUGUUUCCGCCACUAACUAUGCACGUUAAGGAUUUGGUAUUGAAGGCUCUCCCUUCCUUUCUCUCUUGUGUCGUGAAUAACUCUCAUAACCCUAAUCUUCACGGCAAAUAAAAAAAAAAAGGUAAAGGUAACUCUCAUCGUAGGCAAAAAGAAAAAUAAUAAAACCCUUUUGUUGCCUCACUGGUUCGAACACUUACCCUCAACACCCAAACACACAGCUUACACCAUUAGGCUACCAAUUUAGUUCUUAUUACAAUGUCAUUUAAUAAAUAUUUAAAUACAACUUUAAUGCACUGUUAAG